AUCGAAUUGAUUCGUUAACACAUGUGAAACUAAACUCGAAAUAAGGCUGAGAGCUUUUGAGAGUGAAUUUAUUGAAAGAGGUUAUUGACAAGACUUCACCUCAUUCUUUGGAAGUGCUAUAAAUGGGCUGAUCGAUUGACCCUUUGAGGUUUUUCGACGCUCUGCACUUGUGACUGAUCUAUCAACUUCGUUUGUGGUGCCUUUGACCAAAAAGGUUCUAACGGAUGACGAGGGAUUAGGGUUUGAUUUCGGAGAGGAGGCCUGAGACACUGCCUCCACUUCCAAGGAAGGCAGCAGGAGCGAAAAUUACUCAAUGACACAUCGUCGAAGUAGUGACAAGAAUUAACAGAAUUGGGUCCUUUUAGGAACAGUAUCUGUGAUGAGAACAAUUUAAAACCAUUAACGAGUAGCCAUGAGAGGGCAAGUCUGGUGCCAGCAGCCGCGGUAAUUCCAGCUCUUAGAGUGUAUAUGAAUGUUGUUGUAGUUAAAACGCUCAUAGCUUAUAAUAAUAGGUCAGCUAGCUACUGCCGAGGGCACCAGUCUGAGGUACUGUUAGUUGUGCUUACAAAAAGUUCAGUGAUUUGCUGUCGGUGCCGGAAACGGUGUACGGGCUCUAGCGUUGCGAGACGUUAGAUUCGCUGGAGAGGAUUAACUUUGAACAAAUUAGAGUGUUUAAAACAAGCUUUAUAGCUUUGAAUAUAUUAGCAUAGUAUUACAGAAUAUGAUGGAUUCGUUUCGAAAGUUUUGUUGCCUGGGCGCAAGUUUAGGUAAUGGAGCGGGUCAUUUAAUGAGAAUAGAAAUUGAUGGAGCGAUCUUUAUUUACUGGGAAGGGGUGAAAUCCUAUGAUCCAGUGAAGAAACACUAAUGCGAAAGCACCUCGCUAAGAUGUUUUUAUUAGUCAAGAACGAAAGUUGAGGGCGCGAAGAUGAUUAGAUACCAUCGUAGUCUCAACCGUAAACAAUGUUGAUUUAGGAUGUGAAAUCAUUUUUUAUGACUUUUCACGAAUUAUACGAGAAAUCUAGAAUAUUCGAACUCUAGGGGUAGUAUAGUCGCAAGGCCGAAACUUAAAAGAAUUGACGGAAGAGCACCACCAGGCGUGGAACCUGCGGCUUAAUUUGACCCAACGCGGGAAAACUUACCAGGACAGGACAUUAAAAGGAUUGACAGAUUGAUAGCUUUUUCAUGAUAUAAUGAAAGGUGGUGCAUGGCCGUUUUUAGUUGGUGGUUUGAAUUGUCUGGUUAAUUCCGAUAACGUAACAAGACCUUUUCCUGCUAUUUAGCAUUGGUGGGUCUGAUAUUAGAGCGAUAACUCGUUUAUCGUUUGACUUUGGAAUCCAAAGCUCUGCUUCUUAGAGGU
rnacentral:rRNA from 1 species